UACGGAGGGUGCAAGCGUUAUCCGGAUUCACUGGGUUUAAAGGGUGCGUAGGCGGGUAGGUAAGUCAGUGGUGAAAUCUUCGAGCUUAACUCGGAAACUGCCUUUUGAUACUAUCUAUCUUGAAUAUUGUGGAGGUAAGCGGAAUAUGUCAUGUAGCGGUGAAAUGCUUAGAUAUGACAUAGAACACCUAUUGCGAAGGCAGCUUACUACGCAUAUAUUGACGCUGAGGCACGAAAGCGUGGGGGAUCAAAACAGG
rnacentral:rRNA from 1 species